rnacentral:tRNA from 62 species
GCGCUAUUAACUCAGUUGGCAGAGUGAUUGGUUUUAUAAUGGCUUGUUUUGGCUUGAAAAUUGAUAGACGCGGGUUCGAGUCCUGCAUAGCGCGCCA